AGGGUAAAGCAGGCGAAGGUUGUUGGUGUCGUGUUGUUGAAAACGGAGUUAUGCAUCCGAUUUUGGUGUUAUAUUUUGCUUUCAAGCAAGAAGGAAAAGCUGUGGAAAGAAGGAGGAAGUCCUACCAAUGCUGGGUGUCAGGUAGAGCACCUGAUGGUAGAAUCCAGCACUACAUGUUAAAGAUAAGGAACUAGCCAGGUGCAAAAAUCCAUGGAAGCUUCAGCAAGGAAAUCUGGUGUCCUACUUUAGAAACUUGAGUGGUGCACAGAGAAGGUUUAAUAGCAAGUUGGGUCAAGGCUGCAGUGAGACUCAAAACAACAAGCCUUGCAUGAACAUUAUCAAUAUGGCUUGUACUACAGGGACUGUUUGAACAGGAUAGAAGUUAAGCUGGAUCACAAAGUUGCAUAACCAAGAUAAUCCUUGUACCUCACUUGAGACAACUAAUACAAAGAACUUAUGUUAGAA